rnacentral:rRNA from 1 species
AGAUGUGGGUUAAGUCCGUAACGAGCGCAACCUUGUCCUUAGUUACCUAGCACGUUAUGGUGGGCACUCUAAGGAGACUGCCGGUGCAAACCGGAGGAAGUGGGGAUGACGUCAAGUCAUCAUGGCCCUUACGGCCUGGGCUACACACGUGCGUACAAUGGUCGGUACAAAGGGUUGGCCAAGCCGCGAGGUGGAGCUAAUCCCAUAAAACCGAUCGUAGUCCGGAUCGCAGUCUGCAACUCGACUGCGUGAAGUCGGAAUCGCUAGUAAUCGUGAACCAGAAUGUCACGGUGAAUACGUUCCCGGGCCUU